rnacentral:rRNA from 1 species
AAGUUAGUGGCGGACGGGUGAGUAACACGUGGGUAACCUGCCUCACAGCUGGGGAUAACAUCGAGAAAUCGAUGCUAAUACCGAAUGUGCUGAACAUCAUAAGAUGUUCAAGUGAAAGACGGUUUCGGCUGUCACUGUGAGAUGGACCCGCGCUGGAUUAGCUAGUUGGUAAGGUAAUGGCUUACCAAGGCGACGAUCCAUAGCCGACCUGAGAGGGUGAUCGGCCACAUUGGGACUGAGACACGGCCCAAACUCCUACGGGAGGCAGCAGUAGGGAAUCUUCGGCAAUGGACGAAAGUCUGACCGAGCAACGCCGCGUGAGCGAAGAAGGCGCUUCGGGUCGUAAAGCUCUGUUGUUAGAGAAGAACAAGGGUGAGAGUAACUGUUCACCCCUUGACGGUAUCUUACCAGAAAGCCACGGCUUACUACGUGCCAGCAGCCGCGGUGAUACCUAUGUGGCAAGCGUUGUGCCGGAUAAUUGGGCGUAAAGCGCGCGCACGCGGNCUCUUUAAGUCUGAUGUUGAAAGACCCCCGGCUCAACCGGGGAGGGUCAUUGGAAACUGGGAGACUUGAGGACAGAAGAGGAGAGUGGAAUUCCAAGUGUAGCGGUGAAAUGCGUAGAUAUUUGGAGGAACACCAGUGGCGAAGGCGGCUCUCUGGUCUGUUACUGACGCUGAGGCGCGAAAGCGUGGGGAGCAAACAGGAUUAGAUACCCUGGUAGUCCACGCCGUAAACGAUGAGUGCUAAGUGUUAGGGGGUUUCCGCCCCCUAGUGCUGCAGUAAACGCAUUAAGCACUCCGCCUGGGGAGUACGACCGCAAGGGUUGAAACUCAAAGGAAUUGACGGGGGCCCCGCACAAGCGGUGGAGCAUGUGGUUUAAUUCGAAGCAACGCGAAGAACACUACCCAGGUCUUGACAUCCCUUGACCACUCUGGAGACAGAACUUUCCCCUUCUGGGGACAAAGUGACAAGUGGUGCGAUGGGUGUCGUCAGCUCGUGUCGUGAGAUAGUUGGGGGUAAGUCCCCGCAACGAGCGCAACCCCUGAUUUUAUGUUGCCAGCAUUCAGUUGGGCACUCUAAAAUGACUGCCCGUGUAAGCCCGAGGAAGGUGGGGAUGACGUCAAAUCAUCAUGCCCCUUAUGACCUGGGCUACACACGUGCUACAAUGGAUAAUACAAAAAGUCGCGAAGACGCGAGGUGGAGGCCAAUCCCAUCAAAAUAAUUCUCAGUUCGGAUUGCAGGCUGCAACUCGCCUGCAUGAAGCCGGAAUCGCUAGUAAUCGUAGAUCAACAUGCUACCGUGAAUACGUUCCCGGGCCCUGUACACACCCGCCCGUGCACACCACGAGAG